AAUUUUUUACAGAUUUUUGUGAUUUUUGUUGUGUUAACAUGGUGUAGAAAAAAGAGUUUUUAAUUUGUGGAUAUAUUUGUUAAAGAAAGAAUUUAGAGUUUCUAAUCUGUGGAUAUAUUUGUGAAAGAAAGAGUUUAGCCAUCGAGGAACAUGGAUUGGUUCACUUCAAUAAAGAGGACCAACAGAAUUUUAAAUUUGUUCGUGAAAUAUGUUAUGUUAAAUGAUACCACAUCACCAAAAUAUACAUACUCCUUAAUGUCUUUGUCAUCAACCCAAAACAUAUUUAUCUUUAAAAUCAACAAUUCCUUCCAAAUUUCAUGUGAUUAUCUAAAAUUAUAUGCGCUAAGGUAAAUUACUUUAUAUUAGUUAUGUGGAUAAAGAGGAAAAUAUUUGUAUAAGACAUGUUUUAAUUUUUAUUUGUAAUCCAAAUAUUAGUUUGUAAAUAAGUUUUGUUAUUUCAUGCAGAUGUCUCUAGAUUAUGUGUUGUCUCAAGACCAAUGGUUCUGUGCUAUUGUUUGUCAAUAUUCAAAUCAUCAAUAUGUUAGAGAUUUGAUAGAAUUGUUACAAGCAGACGAACAAGUAUUAUUAAUAUGCAGUUAUUUUCAUGGAUUUCUAUAUGGAUUUAUGUAUAGAGACGAAGAGCAACAAUUUAGUAGCAAGUUAAUACAUGAAUUUAUAAUGAGAAUUGUCAAUUUCGGUAAAAACAACGAAGUGUGGAUAAGAUUUAAUGACUAUCUUGCCCGUUUUGAAAUGCAAGAAUUCUGCUUAAUCACUGGACUAACUUGUCACGAAACAUCUGUUAAUCUUGUCUCUAAUAAUCCUCGACUUAGAAACCAAUAUUUUAAUGGUGUGAAAAUGAUUUCUAUGAGAAUGUUCCAUGAUGGCUUCAAUUCAUGUGAAGAUCGAGAAGAUAAAUUCAAACUUGGAUUGGUUAUGUUGAUAGAGUGUGUUCUCAAACCAAUUGAAAGACAUAUUGAUUAUAGAAUGUUGGGUAUGGUUGAGUAGCUUGACCAUUUUAUUUUGUAUCUAUGGGGCCGAAAGACAUAUUUUGUUUUGUUGAACUCAUUGCAACAAUCACACUUUGAAAGAAUACUAAGAAUGCAACAAGCUCAACAAAGGGAGUGUAAAUAUUCACUACAUGGAUAUCCUCUUGCUUUUCAGGUAUUUGAUUUUUACUAAAUUUUUAUAUUUUGUUUAGUUUAAUGUUGUAUAUAUAUUUAAUAUUUACCUUUAAUUUCAUUUUGCAGUUUUGGAUAUAUGAAGCAUUUCCCAAGAUUGGAAAGAAAUUUGGACGAAAGAGAUACAAGACAUUACAAAUUCCAAGAAUGCACAAAUGGAAGUCGAGGGAAAUAUUAAUAGACAAAAUUGUAAAACAAUAUUUGUCUACACACGAGGUAUGGUAAUUAUACCAAAAUUUAUACAUCUAAUUAUUGUACUAUACUAUAGUAUAGAAUUCUAACAUGUUAUUACGUUUAUAGAUUCGAGUGCUUGCAGUAUUGCAAUAAAUAGAAGCAGAAAUGCAGACAUUGUGGUACACAACUCUAUCAUUACCAUUGGACAAUAAACACGCAAUAUUAGAUGGCAUUACCGGUGGGGAGCUUGGCAAUAUUGUACCACAAAUUCCUCAUAACAAACAAACAAUUAAUGCUGAUGAUGUUGGUACUUCCAGAACAUACCCUUUAGUUGGAGUGGAGCCUAAUUAUAUUUCUGUUGUUGAAUAUAAUUAUGUCACAAAAGAACAGAUGGAAGAAAUGUUCACUACACAUAGACAAUAUGUAUCUGGUCUGUAUGAUGACUUGAAGGCACACAUGGUGAAAGAAUCAAGAAAAUAAUAGGAUGAAUAUCUUGAAAAUCAGAAGGGAAUAUUUGAAGAACAACAAAAAUGGCAUGAACAACAAUAUCAACGGCUGCACUCUGCUUAUCAAUCUGCAUAUAUGGAUUGUCAAACUUUCUGCCAGGAUUUUUUUGGUCAACAGAUGGCUGAACAAUCAAGAAGACAAUAAAGUAAUUAUCAAGCAAUUGUUGAUAAUCAGAAAGAAUUUUUUCAUCAACAACAGAAAUGGCAAGAAGAUCACCAUUAGGAAAUGCAAUCUCACAUGCAAUCUUACGUGGACAAUAGUUUAACUUCAAUGAGAUCUUACUUUGAAGAACGGAACAACAACAUGCUGAAUAGAAUGGGUGAUAUGGAAGCUAUUGUUGGUUGUUUACAGGAAGAUAUUCUUGGCUCCAACAGUCAAAUUCGUGGCACGAAAGUAACAUCUGAACAAACUCAUCAAGCUGAAAUGUCCACAAAAGAGAUGUAUAAUAGGAAGAUAAAAUCUUCAGAUUUUCCUCUCGAAAACUAUUCUAUGGAGAGGUAUUUAUCAGUUCAUCAAUGGGUGGUGGUGAAUACAUCGGGGUAAAAAGCCUAACUCUAACUUAUUAGUUAUAUUGUAUUUAUUUCACACUGAUAUAAACUAUUAUUUACAGUACAUAUUGGGAUGUUGGAGGCAAUAUGUAUGGAAGAGACACACUAUACAAUAUACUUGAAGAUAUAGAUAUCAGUAUUGCAAUUAGUGAAGCUCACAAAUUAUAAUUAAUUUCAAUUUACAUUUGACAUAUAACUUAUAUCUAUUUAUUGUAUUAGACUAUAGAGAUGGAGUUGAAGUUAUUGAGACGAUUGAUUAAAGAAGGCUCUACUCUUCUCUCUAAACAACAUGGAAUUUUGGACUUCAAUUUUGAAAUUGAAUGCAAUCACCAAUUGAUGUGGCAAACAACUUUAAAAGAAGGAAGUUUUAGUGUAGAUCAUCGUCAGAUGGACUUGACUGUAUUAAGAAAUUACAUAAGUGACAAUCUGCCAGAGCACAGUCGUCCAUGGAUAGCAUAUAAUUAUUUAUUAAUUCCAUGUUUGUAUCAAGGCGAUUAUAAUUGUUGUCUUCUUGUUGUUGAUUUCUAUCAGUGGAAAUUUUAGAUAUAUGAUUGCAGUAAUGACGUCCACACACCAACAGAAAUCAGGAAACAAGUACAUACAGUAUAUGAAAUACUUCAAAUAUUAUUAACAAGUUCUAAAUUUUGUUCAAGCAGACCUGAUUUAAGGAAGCAUCGAAACAAGAGGCUUAAAUUGGAGAUUAUAUCUCAUUUCCCUUGCGCAAAAAAUGGGUAAGUAUUUAAGGCAUUUAAAUUGUUUAUUAUUUACUACUAUAUUGGAUUUUUCUUUUAGUUUCGAUUUCUAUAUUCAUUAUUACUUUAGUUUAACUAAAAAAAUUUGUAUGUAGGCCAAACAGUAGACUUUUUCUUCUCAAGUACAUUGAAUGUUUUCUUCUAAAGUAUCCAUUAGAGACAGUUAAUUUGGAGAGAAUGAGGAUAUAUAGAUAGAAAAUUGUGGCUGACGUUUGUUACAAUGAAUAUUUUUUAAAUCUGUG
rnacentral:lncRNA from 1 species